rnacentral:lncRNA from 1 species
UAUUACAGGAUACCCAUCUUCGCAACCAAGACCAUGUGGUGGGAGUGCAGGUUACAUUUCCGGUCAAGGUACAACAAUUGGCGGUGCUGUUACACAAACAACCGACUGCAAAAUUCAAGGAUGCCGUUCUGGAGAAAGACCACUUUGUUUAAGAUACGAGAAAUACGGAACAGGAUGUGACUGCAAAUGCGUACCAGCGUCGACAGGUUGUGGCAAUAACAGUCCUUGGGGAUUAUAUGUUUGCAUACAUGUCUGCUCCCAAGUAGACAAUACGUGCCUUUGCAGGUGUGUUGCCGAUCGACCAUUCAGUCCACCACCGCCCUGUAGGCAAAUCAACGGCUAGCAGCGAACUCUUCCAAGCGUGGCUGCAACAAGCUUUCUUUUUAAGAGCAGAAAAUAAAUGUUUACGAAGCAUCGUCUAUGUUUAACUAAUAUCAGCGUUGUAUGUUUUGCAAAUGUUGCCGGAAGCCGG